AGUGAACGCUGGCGGUAGGCCUAACACAUGCAAGUCGAACGGCAGCACAGUAAGAGCUUGCUCUUACGGGUGGCGAGUGGCGGACGGGUGAGGAAUACAUCGGAAUCUACUUUUUCGUGGGGGAUAACGUAGGGAAACUUACGCUAAUACCGCAUACGACCUACGGGUGUAAGCAUGGCAUCUUCAGACCUUGCGCGAUUGAAUGAGCCGAUGUCGGAUUAGCUAGUUGGCGGGGUAAAGGCACACAAAGGAGACGAUCCGUAGCUGGUCUGAGAGGAUGAUCAGCCACACUGGAACUGAGACACGGUCCAGACUCCUACGGGAGGCAGCAGUGGGGAAUAUUGGACAAUGGGCGCAAGCCUGAUCCAGCCAUACCGCGUGGGUGAAGAAGGCCUUCGGGUUGUAAAGCCCUUUUGUUGGGAAAGAAAAGCAGCAGGUUAAUACCCCGCUGUUCUGACGGUACCCAAAGAAUAAGCACCGGCUAACUUCGUG
rnacentral:rRNA from 1 species